UACGAAGGGGGCUAGCGUUGCUCGGAAUUACUGGGCGUAAAGGGCGCGUAGGCGGAUGUUUAAGUCAGCGGUGAAAGCCCAGGGCUCAACCUUGGAACUGCCAUUGAUACUGGACAUCUUGAGUACGGGAGAGGUGAGUGGAACACCGAGUAUAGAGGUGAAAUUCGUAGAUAUUCGGUAGAACACCAGUGGCGAAGGCGGCUCACUGGACCGGUUCUGACGCUGAGGCGCGAAAGCGUGGGGAGCAAACGGG
rnacentral:rRNA from 1 species